rnacentral:rRNA from 1 species
GACGAACGCUGGCGGCGUGCCUAAUACAUGCAAGUAGAACGCUGAAGAGAGGAGCUUGCUCUUCUUGGUUGAGUUGCGAACGGGUGAGUAACGCGUAGGUAACCUGCCUGGUAGCGGGGGAUAACUAUUGGAAACGAUAGCUAAUACCGCAUAAAAUUGAUUAUUGCAUGAUAAUUAAUUGAAAGAUGCAACUGCAUCACUACCAGAUGGACCUGCGUUGUAUUAGCUAGUUGGUGAGGUAACGGCUCACCAAGGCGACGAUACAUAGCCGACCUGACAGGGUGAUCGGCCACACUGGGACUGAGACAGGGCCCAGACUCCUACGGGAGGCAGCAGUAGGGAAUCUUCGGCAAUGGGGGGAACCCUGACCGAGCAACGCCGCGGGAGUGAAGAAGGUUGUCGGAUCGUAAAGCUCUGUUGUAAGAGAAGAACGGGUGUGAGAGUGGAAAGUUCACACUGUGACGGUAGCUUACCAGAAAGGGACGGCUAACUACGUG